GGACUACCAGGGUUUCUAAUCCUGUUCGCUACCCACGCUUUCGUCCAUCAGCGUCAAUCCAUUAGUAGUAACCUGCCUUCGCAAUUGGUAUUCCAUGUAAUCUCUAAGCAUUUCACCGCUACACUACAUAUUCUAGUUACUUCCUAAUAAUUCAAGCCUAACAGUAUCAAUGGCCGUUCCUACGUUAAGCGUAGGGCUUUCACCACUGACUUAUUAAGCCGCCUACGGACCCUUUAAACCCAAUGAUUCCGGAUAACGCUUGGAUCCUCCGUAUUACCGCGGCGGCUGGCAC
rnacentral:misc_RNA from 1 species